rnacentral:rRNA from 1 species
AAUCAACGCUGGCGGCGUGCCUCAGACAUGCAAGUCGAACGCGAAAGCCCCCUUUGGGGGGCAAGUAGAGUGGCGCACGGGUGAGUAACACGUAGGUAAUCUACCAUUGGAUGGGGAAUAACCACCGGAAACGGUGGCUAAUACCGCAUAAUGCAGCGGCACCUAAUGGUGACAGUUGUUAAAGCGGGGGAUCGCAAGACCUCGCGUCUAAAGAGGAGCCUGCGGCGGAUUAGCUAGUUGGUAAGGUAACGGCUUACCAAGGCGAUGAUCCGUAGCCGGCCUGAGAGGGCGGUCGGCCACACUGACACUGACAUACGGGUCAGACUCCUACGGGAGGCAGCAGUCGGGAAUUUUGGGCAAUGGGCGAAAGCCUGACCCAGCAACGCCGCGUGAAGGAUGAAAUCCUUCGGGAUGUAAACUUCGCAAGAACGGGAAGAAUAAGCCGGUGUCAACACCACCGGCGAUGACGGUACUGUUUGUAAGCUCCGGCUAACUCCGUGCCAGCAGCCGCGGUAA